rnacentral:rRNA from 1 species
GAUGAACGCUGGCGGCAUGCUUAACACAUGCAAGUCAAACGGUAUUCAUGUUUACAUUUAUACAGUGACGGACGGGUGAGUAAUAUGUAAGAAUCUGCGCUUAGGAGAAGGAUAACAGUUGGAAACGACUGCUAAUACUUCGUAAUGCUAUCAAGUUAAAGAAAUUCGCCUAAGCAUGAGCUUGCAUCUGAUUAGCUAGUUGGUAAGGUAAUGGCUUACCAAGGCAACGAUCAGUAGUUGAUUUGAGAGGAUGAUCAGCCACACUGGGAUUGAGAACGGAACAGACUUCUACGGAAGGCAGCAGUGAGGAAUUUUCCGCAAUGGGUGAAAGCCUGACGGAGCAAUGCCGCGUGGAGGAAGAAGGCCUUAGGGUUGUAAACUUCUUUUCUUACAGAAGGAGGUAUGACGGUAUGUGAGGAAUAAGCAUCGGCUAAUUCCGUGCCAGCCGCCGCCGUAACAC